UCUCCUGACCUUGUGAUCCGCCCGCCUCGGCCUCCCAAAGUGCUGGGAUUACAGGCGUGAGCCACCGCGCCCGGCCCAGAAACUGUGAUAUGAGCUUUUUAUGAAUGCAACCUUCACCAUGUCUCCUGUUAACUCAUCCUGGUCUUCAUAAAACUGCAUAGUUAGGAAGGUAAUCUUCUUGGUUCUCCUGACUUCUGCGUGUCAGAGAGCUACUGCAAGUGAAAGCACCCAAGAGAGUGUAAAAUACUUUAAAGAUGUGAGAUACUACUUUACUGCUAAUCUAUGUUGUUAAAAAAAAUUCUAAAUGAUGAUGAAUGUGCUUGUUCUCCUUCUCCAGGGAAGCAAGGUGAUAAUUUGAUUUUUUAGUUAACCUGAUGAGUUUUUGUAGCUGUCAAGAAGUCUAAAAUUGAGGUAAGCCCCAAAUGAUAAGUAAAUUAUGAUAUUAUGGUCUGUUUUUCACCAGACUAAUUCAGUAAAGCAUCAUCCCCACUACUUAUCAAGGUACAUCUCACACUGCCUGUGCCAAAGGAUUCACCAAUGGCAGAAACCAGAAAAAAUCAAAUUAUUUUAUUCAUAGGUUCUCUUCAUAUUACCACCUCGCUAUUAUAUUCAUACAUCAUCAAGGAAACCACAUUACCCCUGAUGUUUACUUUUGCUGUUCUGUGCCUCUGGCAAGCUGAUAAUCUGAAACUAAUAUCCUUUUAUUAUUUAUACAACAUUUGGCGAGAGUGGAAUAAGCACCAGUAAAGAGUGUUUAUCUUUUGACUUUGUUUUUAAUUUCUGCUCAAGAGUGCUUCUUUAUUGGAAAGGGAACCAAUUUUCACAUCUCCAAUUAUGUAAGGAAUUUCAUGUGACAAUAUGGUUUAAUUGACAUCAUAGAUCCAAAUUAUUCCAGUCAUAUUUAGUCCUUCUUAUAACUAGUUCUGUGGCAGUAGCCUCACCAAGCUCCUGCUUGAAAUCUACUCACUGUGAACUUCCUUUCCAAUCUAACUUCGCUCUUUCAUAAGAUUCUGCUAAUUCAUUGACUUCUCCCAGUCCUCAAAGUUAACUGCAGGUGAACAUUUUAUUUUUGAGCAGACGGACUUAACAUUAAUAUUGUUCUUUGUGUAUGAAGGUGACCUUACUGACUGACCAGCCUAGGGGCAGACAUUUUGAUUUUUUUCUCCAGUAAUGGGUAUAGAUUUAUUCUGGCAUACUUAUGGCCUUGCUGAGUAAAGCUGAGGCCAUGAAUCAGAGUAAGGCUGAUUGGCCUCCAUAGAGCAUUGACCACAUAACCAUACACUUAUUAGCACCAUGGGCUAAUCUGCUGCAUUAAUGGUUACAGAUGUUGUGUUUAAUAUCCAAGUCAAAGCUAACCUUUGCAAAGCAGAACAGACUCUGUGCUAAGUACCAGACAUAGACCAUUUUCUAUGCUCUACAACUCAAUAAGAUUGGUAGUCUUAGUCUGUUUAGAGUGAGAAGAUGAAUACUUAAAAGGAUUAGGUAAUUUGUCCAAGGUGACAAUGAGAAUAAGUAGUAAACCCAGGAUUCGAACCCAGCUUUAAUAUAGAGCCAUCAUUUUUAACCUCUACACUAAACUGUGUCCUUCAUUAAUGGUAUACCUAAGUUAUAGCCUGUAAUCUAUACUGUAAUCUAGCCCUGUAAUAAUCAGGAAUAAGAUGACUUCUAUACAAGGGCUAUACUAUACUAUCCUUGACCAAGAAAUAUCUCCAAGUUUCAAGCAAACUCAAAGCUUCAGGUCAAACUUCCUCUUCAGAGUUAGCCAUAGAGAAUAUAGGCCAAUAUAUGGUAUAUUGUCCUGAUACUUAAAAUAUUUUCUGUAAGCAAAGAUUUAUCAGGAAAUUGAUUUGCUGAAUGGCCAUGGGGGCACCAUCACAUCCACUCCUGCUUCAGUGAGCUGACCAAUUGGGUCUUUAUUCCUCACAAGCAGGUUGCUUGCUGAAAUCUAAUUUAUUAAAUCCAUCAAAUUUUGGUUUACAGUGUGUACCCAACAAAAGCAAAAUAAUCUCAAUUUCAAAGAUAAACGUAUACAAAUUGUAUAAUUCAUAUAAUAGACUGUUCUACUGAUAAUCAAUGAACAAAAAUAUGUCAUAUUUUAAGAUGAUCUUGCAAUUAGGGGAAAAAGGAGAUUUUCCUCAAUUAAAAAAUUAGUAGGCAUAUGUAGAAUAUAGUAUGUUUUAAGUGAAAAAUCAGAAAAAAUGAUUUAGAAAUGGCAGUAUUUCUUCAUCUUUGAAGGAUUUAAGCUAUUUUAAAGAGAUUUUUAAACCUUUGAGCUUUAGAGGGAAAAAAAUGGUCUACCAGUAGUCACAAAAAUAAAAUGUAAAUUAAUUUUUGCUGUAAGAAGCAAAAUAUGAAAUGCUCCACAAGAUUUACUUUUGUGUGGUGUUUUUUUCCUUUUUGUUUUGCUUUUACUUUUAGCAAGAAACACAAAGUGUCAUGAAAUAAUUACAAGUAGUAACAAAUUUUUUAUAAGACUGGAAAACAUUGCUCUUAGACAAGUUUGAGGUCAAAUCUCAAGUCAAACACUUACUGACUGUGUUAUUUUACAUGAGUUAGUUAACUCUCUAAGUUCUAAAAAAUGUUUAAUAUAAAGUAAGACACUCUCCCGUGGAAUCUUGGGAUAACCAAAUUGUGGUAGACUAUGUAUGCAAAGAGGUGGGCAUAGUGCAUGCCUUAUAGCAAGUGCUCAAUGGAUGCACAUUGCAGUCUUUUUAAAAUCUCUAUUCUCUAUUUUAGACAAUGAAAGCAAAAUUCAAUAGAAGAAAGGAAAAACGAAGAAGACAACAUUAAAGGAGAAGAUCAAGGUAAUUUUACUCUAAGAGAUCGUAGAAAAAUACAGAAAGUAACAGGAAAAAUGCGAUGUUUUAAUAGAAACAUAAUAUUAGUGCUUUCAAAGCUUUAAGAAAAAGAAAGUUAAUUUAUUAAUAAUGUAAUACCCAAGUUUCAUAACGGGCACUAAGCAAUCUCAACAUGAGUAACAAAAGUAUUUCAACUGAUACUUAAAAGAUGGACACAUAAGACUUCCUGAAGCCUUUUUAAAAAAUGUCCAACAGAGAAAGCCCUAAAUUUCCAUUUUGAGGAAUGUGACAUCUAAUUAUACAGGGAAAACCUUUCUACUUUCAUUGAACAUCAUCUGCAUACCAUAACCUUUUAAGAAAGCAUUGUUAAAUCACUUAAAGCUAUGUAUUGUUUUCACAGCUCUAAGAAUAAAUGAAGAUUAUUACCACUUGGAAUUUCCCUAUUGUGUCACCAUCUGAGUAACAGACGUAGCCACAUUUCUAAAUGUUGCUCCACUACUGACAAGUUACUAUUUGGUCCUGGCAGAAGUUGCUUCAGUUUUUUUGUUUGUUUGUUUGUUUUGUUUUGUUUUGUUUUGUUUUCUGUUUUUCAGCUUUCCAGCAUCAUACUGGGGCUUAAUAAUGCCUUUGGCUUUGGGAUUGGGAUUUUUUGAUGUGACCAAACAGCCAUUUAUGUUCUCAGAAAACUGGAAUAGGAAUAUCCUAUGGUGGAAGAAAAGAAUGGACCAUGAUGAAAAUUUCUACACCAGAAGACUUGAGAUGACUGCACAUGAUGUUGGGAGCUAUGGCAUUCAUCUUGUGACAUUAAGAGACAAGAAUGACAAGCAGUUGAUGGCAGAGAAGAAGGAUGGAAGAAACUUGGGUCCUUGGACUUGGCGUUUGAACCUCUGAAUGACCUUCCCUGGACCACCAUAUAUAGCUACAAAGACCUGUUGUGUGAAAUAGUGAGUCUCCACUUUUGU